CCUUUUCCUCCCAGACAGCCUACUUUCAUCACAGUGCACAAUUGAAAUUGGAGACCACUUAGGUUUCCUUACUUUGAAAGAGCUCAGAAGGAACCUUUACAACUCCUAAUGAAAGGCUGCAGAGAAGAGCUGAAAUUAAGUCAGCAGAGUUCACGAUUUGUCUUGGAGCAGAGCCUAAUUCAGUUUAUAAUGCAAGGUCUAUGCUGGAGUCCCAGCAUCAGUGUCAAGGACAGAAUAAAUGUGGAGAAAAAAUUUUGAAAAACUAGUUAAUUCAAAGACUCUCCCAAACUGAGCAAGAACACCAAAGAGCAUAUGCCUUCAAAAGCAACAUUUGCCGAGACAGCAGGAAUCAAAUUCUUCCAGAAAUUAAAUGCUUCCUUGCCCUCACUACAGGAGGAAUGCCAAGUAAACUGCCAUCUGCGACACCCUCUAGGAAUAUUACAGGGAUUCCCCUGCAGCGCUUUCCCUUCUGUGAAGGACAGACUGAAGAUGUGUGAAGAAGAAUAUCAGAAAUCACAUUUCUUGGCUGAAUGACAUUUCAAAUUUACCUUCUUAUUCCCAGUAUUAAUUACCUGCAACCCAUCCGACAAUGCCUACCCACAACUGGACACCUCCUUCCCUAUGCUUUUAUAUCCUUAAGCGUUGGUCUGUAUAAACUCUGUCAAUGCUGAGCUGGUGACUCCAUUCCCUCUAUCCCUCUGUUUUGCCUCCUUUGUUUUUGGGUAGUACAGGGCCCUUCUUUAUUAGCCGUUUCCACCUGAAUAAGCCAGAGCAGCACAUGACUCCUGACCUGAAGCAAUGCAAGUGAGUAGGCCAGCUUGAUACAUGCACUGCCUUUCUAUGUGAUGCCCCUGCCUUUCCUCAGCAGACACAAGGUACCAGAGAUGUCUCAGAGAUUAGGAGAGUGUGUCUGUCUGCCUGCUCACGCUGUAGCUCUGGGGGACAAGUAGGGUGAAUAUGAUAGUAGCAGUUUGUGCCCACAAAAGCGAGUCUCCCACAAAUACUGUGAGAAGAAAAUGGUGAGUAUUACUGCUUGUAUUUCAGCUGAUCAUAAAAAUAAAAAGGAUAUAGUAGCCCAAAGGAUAAACUGAACUCAAAGGUACUUGCUGCUCUGAAGCUUGUACUAUAAAAAAAAAUCAGAAGCAAGCUAUUCAUUGAAGUCCUGGCUUUCAUGCACUUGUGUUUGGCACUGUUAUUUUAAUCUCCUGACCUCAUUUUGUGUUUCUGUACUGUUUGUCUUCUCUGGCAAUGUUUAACUUCCUAGGUUAAAAUUAGUCUUGUGUUAUGGAGAUACUGUGCUAGGCUACUGGGAUUUUUCCCUCUACAGCUUCCCUGAUCUUUAUCGACAAUUGCUCAACAUCUGCAUAACUCUGUCUUUCCUGUGUCUCAACAACUACACUUGGGAGGCUGCCAGCUCAUGGUGGCAAUAGGGACCUCUGAUGAAUAUGACAAAAGUAUUAUCCACUCAAUACACUUUAUCUGUGGCAAAGAAAGUAACCCCCACCUCAUGCACAGUAAAUCUGUACCUGCUUACCCUUCAUUCUCCAUCUCCAUCUUCGCCAGGAUCCUCCCCAUGUUUCUGCAUUCUGAACUGGGCACAGAUUAAGGAAGUUUCCUAGGAAAACUGUUGGAGAAAUUCUACAUUUCAGCUUAAAUAAACUCUACCUGCUCUAUGUGGUACUUUGAAGAUCUUUUCUCUUGAAAGAAAGUGACAAAUUAAUUCCAUCCAAUGAUAAUUUAUGUAUAAAAACAAGGUUGGAAAUUAACACAAAAGUAACCUUUAUCUUCUGUGAGAACAUAUGCUGAGAAAUAUGAGAUGGUAUCCUAUUUAUGCAGUAAUUAAAUGUGAUCUUCUUUAUCUUCAUAAGCCUCUGGGAAAAAGCCACUUCUACAGCAGUUCCUUGGGCUUAUGACUAGUUUAGCUAGUCCUGGAGACCUCUUGGUAAUUGGCCAUUCAUAUCUAUUUUCAGUCCCUUAACAUUAAUACUGGUAUUAAGGUAUUAUUAUUUAGGUGGGAAAACCCACUAAGAAUAAGAAUUCUGAUUCUUUUGUGAUAUACAGGUCCAGAUCUGUGGGCAAUUGAAUCUCGGAUCCAGAUUGGCAGGGAAUCUCAAUUCAAAGGAGUGAGUUGGUUUUGUACACUUAGCAUUUACACUUACUAAGCAUUUCCUUCUAUGGCAUGACCUAUCCCGUGUUGCCACAUCAGCAACACACUUCCUCAAUGUCCUUCUAUGGGGUGGUCACUCGCUGUUCACCCGUCUGUCAGCACCGGGCAGGCUCCUUUGCGUGGGGGUCUGCCA